rnacentral:rRNA from 1 species
AUUGAACGCUGGCGGCAUGCCUUACACAUGCAAGUCGAACGGUAACAGGUUAAGCUGACGAGUGGCGAACGGGUGAGUAAUGUAUCGGAACGUGCCCAGUCGUGGGGGAUAACUACUCGAAAGAGUGGCUAAUACCGCAUACGACCUGAGGGUGAAAGCGGGGGACCGUAAGGCCUCGCGCGAUUGGAGCGGCCGAUAUCAGAUUAGGUAGUUGGUGGGGUAAAGGCCCACCAAGCCAACGAUCUGUAGCUGGUCUGAGAGGACGACCAGCCACACUGGGACUGAGACACGGCCCAGACUCCUACGGGAGGCAGCAGUGGGGAAUUUUGGACAAUGGACGCAAGUCUGAUCCAGCCAUGCCGCGUGCGGGAAGAAGGCCUUCGGGUUGUAAACCGCUUUUGUCAGGGAAGAAAAGGGCGACUCUAAUACAGUUGCCUCAUGACGGUACCUGAAGAAUAAGCACCGGCUAACUACGUGCCAGCCGCCGCCGUAAUAC